rnacentral:rRNA from 1 species
AGGUUGGUGAGGUAAUGGCUCACCAAGGCGACGAUCCGUAACUGGUCUGAGAGGAUGAUCAGUCACACUGGAACUGAGACACGGUCCAGACUCCUACGGGAGGCAGCAGUGGGGAAUAUUGGACAAUGGGCGAAAGCCUGAUCCAGCCAUGCCGCGUGUGUGAAGAAGGUCUUCGGAUUGUAAAGCACUUUAAGUUGGGAGGAAGGGUAGUAACCUAAUACGUUGCUACUUUGACGUUACCGACAGAAUAAGCACCGGCUAACUUCGUG